GACGAACGCUGGCGGCGUGCUUAACACAUGCAAGUCGAGCGAAAAGAGGGAAAGAGCUUGCUCUUUCCGGAAUUGAGUGGCAAACGGGUGAGUAACACGUAAACAACCUGCCUUCAGGAUGGGGACAACAGACGGAAACGACUGCUAAUACCGAAUAAGUUCCAAGAGCCGCAUGGCCCAUGGAAGAAAAGGUGGCCUCUACCUGUAAGCUAUCGCCUGAAGAGGGGUUUGCGUCUGAUUAGCUGGUUGGAGGGGUAACGGCCCACCAAGGCGACGAUCAGUAGCCGGUCUGAGAGGAUGAACGGCCACACUGGAACUGAGACACGGUCCAGACUCCUACGGGAGGCAGCAGUGGGGAAUCUUCCGCAAUGGGCGAAAGCCUGACGGAGCAACGCCGCGUGAGUGAUGACGGCCUUCGGGUUGUAAAACUCUGUGAUCCGGGACGAAAAGGCAGAGUGCGAAGAACAAACUGCAUUGACGGUACCGGAAAAGCAAGCCACGGCUAACUACGUG
rnacentral:rRNA from 1 species